GCUAGUGUGCUCAGUGGUUAGAGCGUUGGCCCUUGCACCGAAGGUCGUGGGUUCAAAUCCCAUUACGGGCA
rnacentral:tRNA from 1 species